rnacentral:snRNA from 1 species
UACGGACAAGGGGAAUCCGA